CAAGUACUCCCUCCGUCCGGAAUUACCUGUCAUCAAAAUGGAUGUGUCUAGAACUAAAAUACAUCUAGAUACAUCCAUUUCAAUGACAAGUAUUUUCGGACGAAGGGAGUACAAG
rnacentral:pre_miRNA from 1 species